rnacentral:rRNA from 1 species
UACCGUAGGGGCGAAGCGUACUACCGGGAAUCACCUAGGGGGCGUAAAGGGUGCGUAGGCGGCCUAUCAAGUCAGGGGUGAAAGGCAUUGGCUCAACCAAUGUAAGCCUUUGAAACUGUUAGGCUUGAGUGCAGGAGAGGUAAGUGGAAUUCCUAGUGUAGAGGUGAAAUUCGUAGAUAUUAGGAGGAACACCAGUGGCGAAGGCGACUUACUGGACUGUAACUGACGCUGAGGCACGAAAGCGUGGGGAGCGAACAGGAUUAGAUACCCGCGUAGU